GAUGAACGCUGGCGGCGUGCCUAAUACAUGCAAGUCGAGCGAACGGACGAGAAGCUUGCUUCUCUGAUGUUAGCGGCGGACGGGUGAGUAACACGUGGAUAACCUACCUAUAAGACUGGGAUAACUUCGGGAAACCGGAGCUAAUACCGGAUGAUAUUUUGAACCGCAUGGUUCAAAAGUGAAAGACGGUCUUGCUGUCACUUAUAGAUGUAUCCGCGCUGCAUUAGCUAGUUGGUGAGGUAACGGCUUACCAAGGCAACGAUGCAUAGCCGACCUGAGAGGGUGAUCGGCCACACUGGAACUGAGACACGGUCAAGACUCCUACGGGAGGCAGCAGUAGGGAAUAUUCCGCAAUGGGCGAAAGCCUGACGGAGCAAAGCCGCGUGAGUGAUGAAGGUCUUCGGAUCGUAAAACUCUGUUAUUAGGGAAGAACAUAUGUGUAAGUAAAUGUGCACAUCUUGACGGUACCUAAUCAGAAAGCCACGGCUAACUACGUG
rnacentral:rRNA from 1 species